GAACUGGUCAACAGCUCGGUAAAGCAAGCGGCAGUGUGGUCGUUGGCACAUACAAGUCAAUGGAUUGCUUAAUGAUUGGAGGUUGUUGAAGACAUACGGUAGCGAGAAUAUCAUUGGAUAUCAUUGGUGGCAACAGCGAAUUUGAGUAGGAGAACUGCGGGAAACAUUAAGUGGAUCCAUAAGUUAUUAUCAAUUGAGGGGUAGUGUUGGAUAUCACUUGAUAAUAACUUAUGUUGAGUGAAUGAACAUAGUAAUCUAAUUGAAUUAGUAAAUCUAGUAACCUUAGUUAAGGACUAAAAUCAUAUAAAUACGGUGUAUUUGCUAUAAUAAAUUCAGUCUAUUUCGAGACGACAAACUGGUCGUUUUAUUUUAGAUUCCGGAUUGGAAUCCGUGAAAUUCCAA